UACAGAGGUCCCAAGCGUUGUUCGGAUUCACUGGGCGUAAAGGGUGCGUAGGUGGUAGGGUAAGUUUGAUGUGAAAGCUCCGAGCUCAACUCGGAAAUGGCAUUGAAUACUAUCCUGCUUGAGGGUUGGAGGGGGGUCUGGAAUUCUCGGUGUAGCAGUGAAAUGCGUAGAUAUCGAGAGGAACACCGGUGGCGAAGGCGAGUCCCUGGACAACACCUGACACUGAGGCACGAAAGCUAGGGGAGCAAACAGG
rnacentral:rRNA from 1 species